AUUGAACGCUGGCGGCAGGCCUAACACAUGCAAGUCGAGCGAGCGGCGGACGGGUGAGUAAUGUCUGGGAAACUGCCUGAUGGAGGGGGAUAACUACUGGAAACGGUAGCUAAUACCGCAUACCCUCUGAUGUGCACAGAUGGGAUUAGCUAGUAGGUGGGGUAAUGGCUCACCUAGGCGCCGAUCCCUAGCUGGUCGGAGAGGAUAACCAGCCAGACUGGAAUGGAGACAGUGUCCAGACUCCUACGGAAGGCAGCUGAGGGGAAUAUUGCACAAUGGGCGAACGCCGGAUGCAGCCAUGCCGCGGGUUGGAAGAGGUCCUUCGGGUUUUAAAGCACUUUCAGCGGGGAGGCGUUACCCGCAGAAGAAGCACCGGCUAACUCCGUGCCAGCAGCCGCGGUAAUUC
rnacentral:rRNA from 1 species